GAUUUACCUCUUUAACAACAAGGGCUGAUUCUGCUCUCAAAACCACUUGAGUCUGUGGAAAAAUGAAAAAUCAAAACAGAACCAAUUUCUUCGUGGGAUUGUUUCAGUAUGGGUUUUCUGCAAGUUUCAUCUUUGAAAGAGACGGAGAAGUUGGCUAACCAUACCUGGAGGCAGGGCAGCAGAAGACAUGUACAG